rnacentral:rRNA from 1 species
UACGGGGGGGGCAAGCGUUGUUCGGAAUUACUGGGCGUAAAGGGCUCGUAGGCGGCCAACUAAGUCGGAUGUGAAAUCCCCAGGCUUAACCUGGGAAUUGCAUCCGAUACUGGAUGGCUUGAAUCCGGGAGAGGGAUGCGGAAUUCCAGGUGUAGCGGUGAAAUGCGUAGAGAUCCGGAGGAACACCAGUGGCGAAGGCGACACGCUGGGCCGUACCUGACGCUAAAGCGCGACAGCAUGGGGAGCAAACGGG